UUGGAUCCAUCGCAUCCAUUGGAUCCAUCGCAUGAUGGAUCCGAAGGAUGCGAUGGAUCCGAAGGAUGCGAUGGAUCCGA
rnacentral:miRNA from 1 species